UGUGAUUGGCUGAAUGCUCCGCUGAGGCCUCGGGGGCUUGGGGCGUCGGGGAGUGUGCGAGGUGGCCGGGGCUGUGUGCACUAGCGGAGACAAAGCGGUGUCUGUGGUGUCUGUGACGGCGGCGGCAGAACAGCUCUAAACGCCGAAUUUCGUGUUGCUGAGUCCUGUCACCAUCUCAUCUAGCGCGGCGCGCGGGCGGCGGCGGAGGCAGCGGCGGCGGCGGCGGAGGCGGCAGCAGCAGCACAUGGUUCCAAGAGCGCGCUGCGGCUGUUGGGUUCCAAUUCCGCGGGGAGGGACAAAGGCAGUUGUGAAAUCCGGGUAGUGCCCGGUCAGGUGGUGCGCUCGCCACUGCCCUCGAUCCGGUCCUUGAAAACCGGGAGUAGCUCCUCUUCGUGAGGAGGCUGCCACGGGACCGAGGCCCGGGAAGGGCCUGGGAGGCUGAGGCUGUUGUCUGAGGGACGUGGGGGCAGGGCGCGGCCUGCCCGAGGUGCUGUGGGCGGGUCAUUUGUGAGGUGUUUUUGUGGGCCAAGUGUGAGGUAAUCUGACCCCCACCCUGAACUGGGUUUGGUCAGGCUUUGAAAAAAGAAGGCUUUGAAAAAAGAAGUCGUCAGUGCCUAGGAACUUUUUCAGUUGGGAGGUGGUGAAGCUGCGACUUGCGCCGUAUAACACUCCAUCGAGAUCUUGGUCGCCGGUCUUGGGCCUGUUUAAGAAUCCUGGCAUCACGUGUGGCGAAGACAUGGCUGAUCAGUUUUCUGACAGAAGUGGGUAAAUUUCCGGAUUGGUAAAUUUCCUGACAGGAAAUUUCAGGGAACCAAAAAAGGCUCGAAGAACAUGAAGAUGGAGCAGUCAUAAACCGCCCACUCAAGGACCAUCUCCUUCAGGACCAUCCGCACGAGACUCAGAUUGUCUGAAUUGAGCUAUCACAACUUAAUGCUAAAAGCUCCUUAAAACUACAGAUUUAUGACAUAGUUCCUUCCAAAAUAUUACAUCGUAAUCAUUGAGAAGAUUAAAAAAAACACUUGAAGGAAUUGUAGUUUUAAACAUCUCUUUGCAUAUAUUUUGGAUAGUUACUAGGUUACUUUUAACUGUCAUUAAGGAGCACAGACUUACUGAAGCUUUACUGGACGGAAUCCUGGGAAACUGAUUUCAUUAUAAGGUUAUAUUUCCCAGUUAGUGGAGACCUCAUUGCAGUCAUGGCUUUCACAAAUUACAGCAGUCUGAAUCGAGCCCAGCUAACCUUUGAAUAUCUGCACACAAAUUCAACCACUCAUGAAUUCUUGUUUGGUGCUCUUGCUGAACUGGUUGAUAAUGCAAGAGAUGCUGAUGCCACCAGAAUAGAUAUUUAUGCAGAAAGACGAGAGGACCUUCGAGGAGGAUUUAUGCUUUGCUUUUUGGAUGAUGGAGCAGGAAUGGAUCCAAGUGAUGCUGCCAGUGUGAUCCAGUUUGGAAAGUCGGCCAAGCGAACACCUGAGUCCACUCAGAUUGGGCAGUACGGGAAUGGGUUAAAAUCGGGCUCAAUGCGCAUUGGGAAGGAUUUUAUCCUGUUCACCAAGAAGGAAGACACCAUGACCUGCCUCUUCCUGUCUCGCACCUUUCAUGAGGAAGAAGGCAUUGAUGAAGUGAUAGUCCCACUGCCCACCUGGAAUGCUCGGACCCGGGAGCCUGUCACAGACAAUGUAGAGAAAUUUGCCAUUGAGACAGAACUCAUCUACAAGUACUCUCCCUUCCGCACUGAGGAGGAAGUGAUGACCCAAUUUAUGAAGAUUCCUGGGGACAGUGGAACAUUGGUGAUCAUCUUCAAUCUCAAACUCAUGGAUAAUGGAGAGCCAGAACUAGACAUAAUCUCAAAUCCAAGAGAUAUCCAGAUGGCAGAGACGUCCCCAGAGGGCACGAAGCCAGAGCGGCGCUCAUUCCGUGCCUAUGCCGCUGUGCUCUAUAUUGAUCCCCGGAUGAGGAUCUUCAUCCAUGGGCACAAGGUGCAGACCAAGAGGCUCUCGUGCUGCCUGUACAAGCCCAGGAUGUACAAGUACACGUCAAGCCGUUUCAAGACCCGUGCCGAGCAGGAGGUGAAGAAAGCAGAGCACGUAGCAAGGAUUGCUGAAGAGAAGGCGCGGGAGGCGGAGAGCAAAGCUCGGACGUUAGAAGUACGCUUAGGGGGAGACCUCACGCGGGACUCCAGGGUGAUGUUGCGACAGGUCCAGAACACAGCCAUCACUCUGCGCAGAGAAGCUGAUGUCAAGAAGAGGAUCAAGGAGGCCAAGCAGCGAGCACUUAAAGAACCUAAGGAACUGAAUUUUGUUUUUGGGGUCAACAUUGAACACCGGGACCUGGAUGGCAUGUUCAUCUACAACUGUAGCCGGCUGAUCAAAAUGUAUGAGAAAGUGGGCCCACAGCUGGAAGGGGGCAUGGCAUGCGGCGGGGUUGUUGGGGUUGUUGACGUGCCCUACCUAGUCCUGGAGCCUACACACAACAAACAGGACUUUGCUGAUGCCAAGGAGUACCGGCACCUGCUCCGAGCAAUGGGGGAACACCUGGCGCAGUAUUGGAAGGACAUUGCCAUUGCCCAGCGGGGAAUCAUCAAGUUCUGGGAUGAGUUUGGCUACCUCUCUGCCAACUGGAACCAGCCCCCAUCCAGCGAGCUGCGUUACAAACGCCGGAGAGCUAUGGAAAUCCCUACCACCAUCCAGUGCGAUUUGUGUCUGAAAUGGAGAACCCUCCCCUUCCAGCUGAGUUCUGUGGAAAAAGAUUACCCUGACACCUGGGUUUGCUCCAUGAACCCUGAUCCUGAACAGGACCGGUGUGAGGCUUCUGAACAAAAGCAGAAGGUUCCCCUGGGAACAUUCAGAAAGGACAUGAAGACGCAGGAAGAGAAGCAGAAACAACUGACAGAGAAAAUUCGCCAGCAGCAGGAGAAGCUGGAGGCCCUUCAGAAAACCACACCCAUCCGCUCCCAAGCAGACCUGAAGAAAUUGCCUUUGGAAGUGACCACCAGACCUUCCACUGAGGAACCUGUGCGUAGACCUCAGCGUCCUCGGUCGCCCCCUUUACCUGCUGUGAUCAGGAACGCCCCCAGCAGACCCCCUUCUUUGCCAACUCCUAGACCAGCCAGCCAGCCCCGAAAGGCUCCUGUUAUCAGCAGUACCCCAAAAACCCCUGCUUUGGCAGCCCGGGAGGAGGCCAGCACAUCCAGGCUGCUCCAGCCACCUGAGGCACCCCGAAAGCCUGCCAACACUCUUGUUAAGACUGCAUCCCGACCUGCCCCUCUGGUGCAGCAACUGCCACCAUCUUUACUGCCCAACUCCAAGAGCCCUCGGGAGGUUCCUUCUCCCAAAGUCAUCAAGACUCCAGUGGUGAAGAAGACAGAGCCACCCAUCAAACUCUCCCCGGCUACCCCUAGUCGGAAGAGGAGUGUCGCGGUUUCUGAUGAGGAAGAAGUUGAGGAAGAAGCUGAGAGGAGGAAGGAGAGAUGCAAGCGGGGCAGAUUUGUUGUGAAGGAGGAAAAGAAAGACUCGAAUGAGCUCUCAGACAGUGCUGGGGAAGAGGACUCAGCUGACCUCAAGAGAGCUCAGAAAGAUAAAGGGCUUCACGUGGAGGUGCGUGUGAACAGGGAGUGGUACACGGGCCGUGUCACAGCCGUGGAGGUGGGCAAGCAUGUGGUGCGGUGGAAGGUGAAGUUUGACUACGUGCCCACAGACACGACACCAAGAGACCGCUGGGUGGAGAAAGGCAGUGAGGAUGUGCGGCUGAUGAAGCCCCCUUCUCCGGAACAUCAGAGCCUUGACACGCAGCAGGAGGGCGGGGAGGAGGAGGCAGGCCCUGUGGCCCAACAGGCCAUAGCUGUGGCAGAGCCCUCCACUUCCGAAUGCCUCCGCAUUGAGCCUGACACCACUGCCCUGAGCACCAAUCAUGAGACCAUCGACCUGCUCGUCCAGAUCCUCCGGAAUUGUUUACGGUACUUCCUGCCUCCAAGUUUCCCCAUCUCCAAGAAGCAGCUGAGUGCUAUGAAUUCAGAUGAGCUAAUAUCUUUCCCUCUGCCCCUUAUGUACCCUCCCUCUUGCUGUGCUCCCAACAGAAAGAGUACUUCAAGCAAUAUGAAGUAGGGCUCCAAAACCUGUGCAAUUCCUACCAGAGCCGUGCUGACUCCCGGGCCAAGGCCUCCGAGGAAAGCCUGCGUACCUCCGAGAGGAAGCUCCGCGAGACGGAGGAGAAGCUGCAGAAGCUGAGGACCAACAUCGUGGCACUCCUGCAAAAGGUGCAGGAGGACAUAGACAUCAACACAGAUGAUGAGCUGGACGCCUACAUUGAGGACCUCAUCACCAAGGGGGACUGAAGGCGGGAGAGAGAGCAGCUCCCCUGCCCACCUGCCCUUCAACCCUGUAGCUGCAGGGGGAGGGGGCUUCAUUCAUGGGUUGGUGGUCGCACCUUGGUUUGACUUACAGGGGACAUUUGUGUUUUUGGAGGGAAAGAUACCCUGAUUCUUUGAAUCUUCCUCCUUAAGUUUAUAAAUAUUUAUUUUUUAAAAGAAGAUGCUGUGCCUGUGAGACCAUACUUUUUCUUUUUUUUUUUCUUUUUUGGUGACUGCAAAGGACAGAGAACCUUUCCACUUUGGCCACACUGGGUUGCUAAGCCGGAGUCACUUCAGCUCUUGGCUCCUCAAGAUAACGGCGAGUUCAGUGCCAUCUUAGAGAAGCUCCAGGGGCAGGGCUGACGUUUCUCCUAGAGGAGGAACAACGUGGGGAUCUGAGGGAUAGGAGGGAGACUUCCCCCCAGAGUGGUGGUCCUGCUGGGGGCUCAGAUCCAGGGACCCAAAAGGGGGGCUGUGUAGGAGGUUCCACAUUGGAGGGGCUCUCUCUCGCAGCUGUCCGAGUUGGUCCUGGCUGUGGCGUUGUCCAGACAGCUUGGGGGAAAAAGAUCCUGUCUAACCACCUCAUCUACCACUCAGGUUCUUUCUGAAGGAGGGAUUUCUUCAGUUAACCAUGGUCAGUGAGGUUUCUUACCGCAGUAACUUGAGUCCAGGUUGAAGGGGAGACAGAUCUGUGGUGAAUCUCUGAUUUGGGUAGCACACUGAGUGUGGAACCCCACAGGACUCCUUAGGGACGGAGCUUGGGUGUGAAAAAACCCCUGGGGCUGAGCUAGUGACCUCCAUGUGUGGGUGCAGCAGGGCCCUGGAUGGUGCCAGUUGAUCUGGACAGCCUGUUGAUGUUUUUCUACUUCUACCCUUUGGCCGGGCCCCACUGAGCCCCAUCGAGGUGCCUGAGGAGGGGGCCAGUGAGGUCCCUUGGCCACAGGGACUCCAGAGGCAUCUCUGCAGGAAGCACACCAUGCGUUCCCUCCAUGUCCCAUCAUAGUGCCACAAUCUGUGUCCUGUAACUUCUCAGGGUCAAAGACAAAGGCAAGGGUUGCUGAAUUUUCUCUUUAAUGGCCACUGGAAGAAUCUGGUUCAGUUUUUCCCAACUCUCUUCCCACUCGGAUUUGGGGCCUCUGGGUUUUCUGAAGGCACAAGGACUAUGACUUUGUACCACUAACUUGUGGUUCAAACCUGGGUGUGUUUCUGGCAUCUCCCUAACCCAGAUCAGCAAUGGCUACCCUGCUGCUCCGAGGCCAGCAGAAGACUGGAAGCAGAGGUGAGGGAUGCAGGCCACACUGGAAUGGGAAGUCUUUCCCCACUGGAUGUGCCUAUGUCUGGUGGGUUUUGGGCCUUCCCAGACUACCUCUCUGGGAGAGGCCUGUUUGGGGUAGUACACUGAGAGACCCUGGCCUCUUCUGCUGGAAGACUGUCCAAGUCUUGGGGUUUCUUGAGCUGGUGAUUCCUCUGCCAUCCUGCUGUCUCUGUUCAUCUCAGGCAGCAUGGGGUCCACUUGUGUCCCCAAACCUAAUGUUUUAAUCCAAAUGCAAGUUGGUUCUGCAUUUUUACUGGAGGGUAAUCAAUUUUUAAAAUUCACACACAUGUAAUCAAAAUGCAAUACUAUAAACUUCUACUGGUGAGACUCCUGAA